rnacentral:lncRNA from 1 species
UCAGCUGCCUGUAAUCAGCUAGCCAAUGAAUGACCCAGGAGGCCUGCUGAUGGCACAAAAGCCAGCUCGACGGUUGGGAAGAGCGAGUGCCCGGGCUGCGCUGUUCGCGUCAGCUGCCACGGGGCCACUGAAAUUGAAUCCGCCGUCCUGUAAAUUGGUUACAGAAACCCAGUUCAGAAGGAGACAGCAAGUCAGAAUGAUCAAAAGCAGGAGGGCCUAAUACCAAUGGACACCUCAGUAAAACAAUUGUAAAAUUUGAGCCACUGCCAGGAGCACAGAGAUAUCCGAGGAUCUCUGUUUAUACACAGAGCUGGAAUCUGCAGAGCGGGCCAUAAAGAUGGUUUUGUUUGGGGGGUUGUGGUUUUCAAUCUGCCGGGGACAACACAUUUUUUUUUUUAAUUCUUCAUGGAUUUAUCUCUUCUAAAUUUGAGCGAAUCACUAGCCCAUACAACUUCUUCAAGCCUUUACAGAUUCUUAAUAUUAGCUCUACAUUUUUAAUUAAUAACAGGAUAGUAGUGCAUCAGGGAAUCACAUUACAGAAGACGUACGCAUGAAGCAAAUGUUUAUUUUUAAUGAUUGGAAUAUUUGGCGGUGUCUAGAGGGGAAGCAGCAGAAAGGAGAGGUAUCUGCUGCCACCCCCGAGCCCUCACCCCCAGUGACAGUUGGGGCUGACCCCGUUCUGAGCCUGGGCAGGCACUUCCUGGGAAGGAACUGCUCAACCAUGUGAGAUGAAUUAACUGUUUAGGGCAAAGGAACCUGAUACGCUUAGUUUCUUCUCACACCAGAGUGGGAUUGUCAAAUUGGAGUUGAGGGCAAGGCAAUGACCCAUAUAAUUUAGAGAUGGUGGGGGAGGGAAAAGAUAGUUUGGGUGUAUAUGUUAUGGCUAAAUACCAAACAAAGGCUACCAUCCAAGACAGGGUAGAAUAACUAGAAACUAAUGAAUUAAGAAUGCUUUGUGCAUCCUUCUCGUCUGAAAGAUAAUGAUUUCUUGAAGGAAAAUGGAAUCCCUGGAUGGCAGACCUCAGCACUGGAGAAUGUUGACUCAGCCUGCUAAAUUUAAGACUGUAGUCUUUUUCUGGGAAGGCAAACGGGUCUUCCCUUCCCCGGGAUCACUAUUGUCCUUAAAAAGAAGCCAAAUAGCAAGUCAGUCAUUUCUUGGUUUCUUGGGAGACUAAUGCCAUGGAAACAGGAUGUUAGGUAUUCGGGGAACAGGCGUCACACCUUUCAUUUCAGGUGCCUUGGCUCAUGCGCCAUAUUUAUUGAUGAACCUCCUAUUAUACGGACUUUCUCAUUUGAAAGGGGUGUUGCUCUCUUGCGUCUCUGCUGGAAGAAGUGCCAGAAACCCUCUCUUCCCUCCUCUCCUCUCUCUCCACAUGGUGCCAGCUUGCUUAUUUCUCCAAGUUGCGGUGCAGCUCGCACCUACUUUGAGGGUCUUCUUGAACUAGUUCUAUAUCCCUUCACCAACAGAACAAACCCCACCCUCUCUGUACUCUCGAAGCACAUUUAUUAGCAAGAGCUAAGUUGCUUUAUCUCUCAGAGCCUCUGCUUCUUCAUCAGGAGAGUGGAAAUUAGCAUGCCUGCAAAGGCGAUCUAAGAAAAAUAAAUCACAUGGAAGACAACACACAGGAAUGAGGGCAUAGCGGCUAUUUAAUAAAUGUGGUUUCCUCUCGUCUCUCUAUAUUGCUAUUAUCAAAUAUGUGUUUUAUUGUGUUUGCUUGUUUGUUUGUUUGUUUGCUUGCUUUUUCUAGGGCCACUCCAGCAGCAUAUGGAGGUUCCCAGGCUAGGGGUCGAAUCAGAGCUGUAGCCACCAGCCUACAUCAGGGCCACAGCAACGCAGGAUCCAAGCCGCGUCUGUGACCUACACCACAGCUCACGGCAACGCCGGAUCCUUAACCCACUGGGCAAGGCCAGGGAUUGAACCCACAACCUCAUGGUUCCUAGUCGGAUUCGUUAACCACUGAGCCACGACAGGAACUCCUAUUGUGUUCUUUUUACUUUUGUCCCAGUAUUAGUUUCUUGGGUGCAAAGAACAUGUCUUUUGUUCAUUUCUGUAAGCCCAGAAUAUAGCAUAAAGCCUAGUACAUAGUACAUACGUAAUGUUGGAUGAAUGACUUAAUGAUAAUGAAUUAAUGAAUUUAUUUGAUAAAUAGUAAGCACUUGCUAUGGGCCAAGUAAUUUCCUAGGUAUUGAGAUGUGAUGUGCACAAGACAGAGAGAACAUGUACUCCCCCAGAAAUUAGUCCAAGGGAUGUGGGAGGAGUGGGUAAGGACAAUAAAUAAGCAAGCGAAUGGCAGUACCUUGAUUUGAGGAGGGCGUUAUUAUAUGCUGUGCUCAGAGACGGAGGGACGGAUGAAGGGAUAGAUGCAUGAGUGGCUGGAGGGAUGGAUGGGAAGAUGGAAGGAUGGAGGGAAGGAUUGCAAAUGAGAAUUUCCGAAUGAAAUUGAAAAAGGACACUCCUAGUAACCCUACAUGUGCCCAGGUGAACUAACCCUUAAAUCUGGAUCCUCACGGGCCCCUCACUGGCACUGGCACUAUCUCACACUAGCAUUGGCACUGACACACGGUUGCCUUUAAAGGCUCAUGAUUCAUACAAAAGCCUUUCUGGAAACCAAGGACACUGCCCCAGUCUUAAUGGCUGCCUGCUUUCCGUCUUGCUAUGGCUGCCACUGGUGGCGACCCUUCUCCCCGGCCAGGCUCACCAUGGCCUUUAGCUCGCCUUCUGUCUGCUCUUUCCUGCUCCUCUUAUGCAAAGAGCCCUCUUCCCUCCACUCCAAGACCCUCUGUAGGAGCCAAUGAAUGUCUUUACCUCCGUGGCCAGUUUGAAUCUAACAGGUUACACCCUCCCCCUGCAAGAAGGAGUUUGAGAUGAAACAUCCUGGGUGUCCACGUAGCUCUCUCCUACUUGACUUUAAAUCAUCAGCCGCUGGAGGGGCAUUCACAGCCAGAAAAUAGCUUCCUUCUUCCAACACACCACAGCAUCACAGUCCCAAGUAAAAUGAGAAGCACUUUGUUUUAUUCUUCAAUAAAAGCAGUGACUUUAAAGCCCAAGAUUUCCACUUGCUCUUAGAAUAUGGCAUGUUUCUCCCUUCAUGUAAGGGCUUCUGUUGCAGGGGAACGAAAGGCUAAGAUGGCAAAGCGGCUUCAUCAAGGGAACAGUCAAUGUCCUUAGCAGCCCCCACAAGAGAAAAGGGCCGAGAGCACCCAGUCUGACAGACCCCUUCCAGAGCAAUAGUCAGUUUCCGUCUCUGUCUCAGGACCCUCUAGGGUCCAGCGCCACUCGCCUUUCUGUUGCCUUGUACCGCUGUACCUCUACCUACCUGGUCUCAGACCCCACUCUUCUGACAGCCUCCACUUGAGCCAAAUGAGAGCAGCAACCAUGCCUCAGACAGAACAAAACCUGUCUGGCACACUUGCUGUUUGCCCCACAUAAAAUGCCCUCUCUCAUCUUUCCUGUUCAAAGGCUGUCUACCUUUCCAGGGCCAGGGCCAUGGUCAUUGUCUCUAUUGAAUCUUCUCAAAUCUCCUCAGCCAGUAAGCACAUUUCCCCUUUGUGUAGAACUUGUCACACUAAUUACAUGGCAUAGUCCUAUCUGCUUUGUAUCAAUAUUCGUGAUCAAUGUGCCUUGAAUUAUGAAAAAGAACUCUGAUGUCAAAAACACUCUCAUAUAUAGUCUUUGCACCAAUGGAUCUUAGCAUGAUGCAAUUGAAACACGGAGGCGCUACGGGUAAAUGCUUACUGAAUGAGUGAAUUAAUUAGUUAAUUAAUUAAUAUGUCAUUGUACGGAAGGGCUCAUCUUUGAAACAGGUUUUCCUUCAUCACACAUCUAAUAACUACAAAGACGAGGAAGUUAAUUUUUUUUCAUCUUCAGGGUUUAAUUGUAAGUCCCUUGAGCUAGAUUUUUCUAUUAAAACACUUUUCAAAAGUCCCCCAGGCUUUGUGAAUAAGACUAAUGGAAAUUUCAUUUCCACCAUGGCUACUUACUUUCUAAUGGAAAUUUCUAAAGGUGCUUUUCUUCACUUUGCCAGACAAAAGACUAUCUUUAUUUUAUAUCGAUAUCUUUAAACUUUCAGAAACACUGAUUCUAAUGCAUAACCAAAGCCAAAGCUGUCAUUUAAAAAAAAUCUUAAAUCUCCGAGAUAGUGAGAGAAAGAGAUUUAGCCCCAUUUCCCUAUAAUUAGGAGAUUUCCAAUGAGCCAGCUAUGUGGCAACUUUUACAGAGAUAUGGAAAUAAAUUUCACUUCUGAAAAUUGAGGCCAGGUGAGCUAAUUAUUAAUUUACAUUCAGGUUUUAAUUCCCAGAGACUCUCUCUGGCCAACUUUAUAGUCAAUAACUCAUUCCCUCACAAAAUGAGUAAUUAAAGAACCAGAGAGAGGUUUUAUAAAGAUGAACUUCGACAGGCUAGUCAGUAACAUGGGCUCUGGGGGUAAUAUUUACGUUAAGCAGCCCCCCAGCACUAUAUUAAAAUGCUGACUCUUCCACGUGUCUUUUUAAAUCUAUUUUAUUUUGAAAAAACUAGAUCUUGUCCUACUAGGCAGUCUCUUUGAAGAGAAAGUAAAGGCUAUGAGAAAUGUGCUCUAUCUAAAUUUACCUGGCUAGUUACUAGAAAAUUAAUUGUCAUCUACUGAAACCAUAGCUUUGAUCUAGUUUCUUCUGGUUCCAAAAGGAAUGUGCUUUGCUUCUCAGAUGGCCUGGACCAGAUAAGCUGAAAUAGAUGAAGGGGCCCCUGUGAUCCCAAGUGAGUUCCCUUAUCUGGUUCCUUUAUCUGGAACUCUGAUACAUACCAGGUAUGUUUUUUCCAUUGAGGUAGAAUGCACAUAACAUGCAAAGAGGUCCUACUAUUUGGCACAAGGAAUUAUAGCCAGUCUCUUGGGAUUGAACGUGAUGGAAGAU